GCCGGGUUCCGGGGCUGGGAGUCCGCUGUUCUGGCUCCAGAACCUGUUUCGGUUGCUUGGGAAACCUCACCUUAGCACACAGCGAUAAUGCCCAGAUAUUCCGGUGUCGCCAGAUAAGGGAAGCUAUCAUUUCCCCAGCACAUUCCGAGGAGGACACAGAGCGGUAGCCUGGAACCCAGGCUUCCCUGGUAUCUCUGUAGAAAGUAUUCAUAGAACUCUUCAGAAUGCUACUCCCCCUGAAACAAGAGGUCGUUUGGGAAAACAUCUAAAUGCCACGCAAACUAUGAAAACAAUACUACGGCUGAAUAUGUCGAAAUGUGCAGAGACGUUGAGAAUUUGUUAGGAGACGUUGAUUACAAAACAGAAUAGAUCGUCCACUUUAAAGGCAGCCUCGGAUCUCAAAAGGUUGCUGGGGCAUGUAGACUGUGGAAGGGUAGCUGAAAGAGGAACUCUAUCUAUGCAGCCAUGGAGAAGUCACGCCAUCAUCCAUGCUGCCGUGAAACUUUUUGGUGGUGGAGAUGCCGUGGGGUCUCCCACAGUCCUGUGAGCAACCCAUGCUCUGAGGGUGAGCUGUACAAACUUAGAGGUAAGUCGCACUUUGGGAAUUUUGCUUUGAUUUAUUGUUGGUGCUUUAUAAAGAGGCUGGGUGUUUGUUUACAUCUUCCCAGGGGAAGAAUUCUCGAAACAAUGCACACACAUAACAAAGUGGUAUGACAAGGCUGUGGCUUACAUUUCUAUUUCUCUCUUUGAUCAUUUUGCUUCCGUCUGGAAAGGGGUAAGCAGUUUAUAACAUCAUAACAGCUGCAUGUGAACUACUACCAUAUUGUUUGCUAACAUGUCACCAUGUAUUCAUGAACAAAAGUCUUCAGCUUGGUUCUGUUUAUCAUAGCCUCCUCUUAGAAUUUCUCUGGAUCAACACUUUAUUUCCAAAUCCAGUUCUCAAUUAAAUAAAGUUCCUAUCCAACAAGUUG
rnacentral:lncRNA from 1 species